GAAUAUAGCUCCUGUUUCAGUCUCUAAACAACCAACGCCCAAUACGACAUCGACUGCUGCCGUAAAAGUACAGGUUAAAAAUAGCAAAACUGGACGUGUUGCCAACACUAAAACGAAUUGCGGCGAAACAGUUGAAGAUGUGCUCACCAAAAAUGCAGGUGCGCCUGUGAACGAUAACAGUAUCAAUGAAGCUGCUUGUGAAAUCAUCAAAUUAACCAAACCUCAACUAGCUUCGCCGUCACGAAGAUCCUCGACAUCGAAAGAGAUCCCUGCUGUGAAAACGGAACCUGCAGAUCCUGAAGACGAAGAUGAUUCCUGUUCCGUGACGGGAUCCAAGGCUUGUUCAAUUUCCCUAGCCAUCGAUAAUUUUGUUAGAAAUUAUUAAUUAUUAGAAAUAAUCGGUAUUCCUUACUAUCCAACGGUUUACAACAAAUUCCACCAAAUAAGUAAAAAAAGGAAGAAUAGAGAUGCAGUUUGGGGGGGUCAAGUUUCGAGGCUAGCGCUCUUCAUAUCAGCUUCAUUAUGAACAACAACUGUUAAUUUUCUGAGAAAAUCAAACACUGAUGAGUAACGUUAAGACCUAUCGUUACGCUUUUUAUUGACUUUCACAUGAACCAGCAAGUGGACACAUCAACAGCCAAUUUCGACACGUAUUGGAAUGAGUUGGCAGAGUGAGAAGUGUUAGAAAGGCAAAUAAAAAGGGCUCAGUUAACCAAUUGAGUUCAAAACAUAA